rnacentral:rRNA from 1 species
UAUUAGAUGAGCCUAUAUUAGAUUAGCUAGUUGGUGGAGUAAUAGCCUACCAAGGCAAUGAUCUAUAGCUGAUCUGAGAGGAUGAUCAGCCACACUGGAACUGAGAUACGGUCCAGACUCCUACGGGAGGCAGCAGUGGGGAAUAUUGGACAAUGGGCGAAAGCCUGAUCCAGCCAUGCCGCAUGAGUGAAGAAGGCCUUUGGGUUGUAAAGCUCUUUUAGUGAGGAAGAUAAUGACGGUACUCACAGAAGAAGUCCUGGCUAACUCCGUGCCAGCAGCCGCGGUAAUACGGAGAGGGCUAGCGUUAUUCGGAAUUAUUGGGCGUAAAGGGCGCGUAGGCUGAUUAAUAAGUUAAAAGUGAAAUCCCGAGGCUUAACCUUGGAAUUGCUUUUAAAACUAUUAAUCUAGAGAUUGAAAGAGGAUAGAGGAAUUCCUGAUGUAGAGGUAAAAUUCGUAAAUAUUAGGAGGAACACCAGUGGCGAAGGCGUCUAUCUGGUUCAAAUCUGACGCUGAAGCGCGAAGGCGUGGGGAGCAAACAGGAUUAGAUACCCUGGUAGUCCACGCUGUAAACGAUGAAUGUUAAAUAUGGGAAGUUUACUUUCUGUUAC